rnacentral:rRNA from 1 species
CAUACGGCUCAGUAACACGUAGUCAACCUGCCCUGGAGACGCGGACAAACCCGGGAAACUGGGGCCUAUCCGCGAUAGAUGACCUCAUCUGGAAGGAGAGGUCGUCCAAAAGGACGCAUGGGUAUGCUCUAUGCGGACCGCUCCAGGAUGGGACUGCGGCCGAUCAGGCUGUUGGCGGGGUAAUGGCCCACCAAACCUGUAACCGGUACGGGCUUUGAGAGAAGGAGCCCGGAGAUGGACACUGAGACAAGGGUCCAGGCCCUACGGGGCGCAUCAGGCGCGAAAACUUCGCAAUGCGCGAAAGCGUGACGAGGCUAGUCCGAGUGCUCCCUGCUAAAGGGAGCUUUUCUCGGCUGUAAAUAGGCCGGGGAAUAAGGGGAGGGCAAGUCUGGUGUCAGCCGCCGCGGUAAUACCAGCUCCUCGAGUGGUCGGGACGAUUAUUGGGCCUAAAGCACCCGUAGCCGGUUCCGUAAGUCCUCUGUUAAAUCCAGUCGCUCAACGGCUGGUCUGCAGAGGAUACUGCAGGACUAGGAGGCGGGAGAGGCGGACGGUACUCCGCGUGUAGGGGUAAAAUCCUUUGAUCCGCGGAAGACCACCAGUGGCGAAGGCGGUCCGCCAGAACGCGCUCGACGGUGAGGGGUGAAAGCUGGGGGAGCGAACC